rnacentral:rRNA from 1 species
UACGUAGGGCGCAAGCGUUAUCCGGAAUUAUUGGGCGUAAGGGCUCGUAGGCGGUUCGUCACGUCGGGAGUGAAAACUCGGAGCUUAACUCCGAGCCUGCUUCCGAUACGGGCAGACUAGAGGUAGGCAGGGGAGAGCGGAACUCCUGGUGUAGCGGUGGAAUGCGCAGAUAUCAGGAGGAACACCUGUGGCGAAGGCGGCCCCCCUGGUUGGAUCUACGCUGAUACGCGAAAGCGU